rnacentral:rRNA from 1 species
UACGUAGGGUGCGAGCGUUGUCCGGAAUUAUUGGGCGUAAAGAGCUCGUAGGCGGUUUGUCGCGUCUGCUGUGAAAUCCCGAGGCUCAACCUCGGGCUUGCAGUGGGUACGGGCAGACUAGAGUGCGGUAGGGGAGACUGGAAUUCCCGGUGUAGCGGUGGAAUGCGCAGAUAUCAGGAGGAACACCGAUGGCGAAGGCAGGUCUCUGGGCCGCAACUGACGCUGAGGAGCGAAAGCGUGGGGAGCGAACGGG